GGUUCGAAAAGUUUCACCAAACCUAUUCCGAAAUCGACGUGGAAGCAAUUAAUCUCAAUGGGUCUGGUUGGUUCACCACGGACCCUUUCGAGAUUACGCAGUUCGGAGGUCAGUGGAAAACCGCGGAGUUCAAGGCGGGAGAUGCACUAAUCUUCGGCAUGAACACUGUCCACAUGUCUACAGCAAACUUGACGGACCUGGUUAGAAUAAGUUGUGAUACACGAUGGCAGCCUGCCAAUGAGCCGGCGGAUCCAAGAUACGUGGGGGACUUCCAGAAGCCCGCGCAACAGUUUGGUCUCUAUGCCGACGCCGAAAAGAUGAAGCCUUCGGCUGUAACCAUGGAGGAGUUGAAGGCACGCUGGGGGUUUCAGUAACCAUGGAAAUGGAUCUUUAUGAGCAUAAAUGUGAAGAUAGAGAUUUGGUGCUAAUGUUAAUGUUUUUAUAAAUAUGUCAGACUAUUUGAGUUACGCAAUAUUUUGCAUUUUUAAUUUUAUAUGCGGUUUGGAUAUUCUAUUCUUAUCAUUCUGUUAGGUAAGGUUAACUAUGUCUGGUUUUGUUUGCUUUCUCAUUCCUGAGCAUUCGGAAUGUACAUGUAAUCAGGUAAGAAUAAAGCUUGUCCAUAUAUCAAAUUCUUACAGAGAGGAGUUUUAAGUGUUGAUUUUGAACUAGUCACUGCUGCUUUCAGCGUAUAACAAUCAUUUAAUCAGGAUCAUUAUGAACAAAGCAGCCUUCAUGCAGGCAUAAAACGCCACUCUGUUGAUAAGGAAUUUAUAUGAAGAUCCAAAGUGUGUUAUUUAAUAAAUCACUCUUCUGCAAUUUGAUUUUUAUCAAUGUAAUUGCUAUUUUUGUUAAUGUACAUAAACUAUUUAAAUGAACUAUCA